rnacentral:lncRNA from 10 species
UAUUUUGUAUCCUCUGACAUACAUUUCUUCAUUCCCCCACCCUGACCCCAUAACCACUGUUUUGUUCUCUAUCUCUGAUUUUUUAGAUUCCACAUGUGAGGUCAUGUGAUUUUUUUCCCCCGUGUCUGCCUUAUUUCACUUAGCCCUCUAGUCCCAUCCAUGUCGUGGCAAGUAGAAUCUUGUUCUUUUUAAGACUGAACAAUAUUCCAUUGUAUAUUUGUACCACGGUUUCU